UACGUAGGGUGCGAGCGUUAAUCGGAAUUACUGGGCGUAAAGGGUGCGCAGGCGGUCUCGUAAGCUGGGUGUGAAAGCCCCGGGCUUAACCUGGGAAUGGCAUUCAGGACUGCGAGGCUUUUGAGUGUGGCAGAGGGAGGUGGAAUUCCACGUGUAGCAGUGAAAUGCGUAGAGAUGUGGAGGAACACCGAUGGCGAAGGCAGCCUCCUGGGCCAGCAC
rnacentral:rRNA from 1 species